CCUCCUUUAUGCCUCGACCGGUGGCUGGGAGUGCAAGUGCAUCCUGGGAUGGGAGCAGUGCACCGAAACAGCCACCUUCAGAUAACAGAGCCGGCAACCAGCACCGCGCUGCUCCUUGCAGAUAUAGUCCCACCUUCCUCACUGUCCGCGGCAUCUCCGAAAACCGCAGAUCCGAGGGAAGUCCAGCGUGAUUACGGCACCAUUGCUUUCUGAACAAAGGUUACAUAAAUGAACGCUGCCAGACCCUCCAAACGUGGAGUAACGCAGAGCAAAUGGGCAGGAACCUGGAGAGCAGAGCGGCAGGGGGAGCUCCAGCCUGCCUGUGGACAGGAGCGAGGGAAAAGCAGAGAAAAACAACCUCUCCUAGAUCCGUGCUCCGCACUAGCUGCCAUGUCAGGAAUACCCAAUUUUGCUUUGUUACAAGACUUCCUCAACAACAGUGCUGAACUUUCCAACACAGUGCAGAAUCUGUCUGUUAUGCUAGAGCGAGAGAACCAUGCCCACCACCAGGAAGAUUAGACAUCUUACCUUGGGAUGCUGGGAGGAGCCCGGGUUGGCCGAGAGGGAACCUGGGGAGGUCCUCCAAGAGCUUCACCACCACUUGGAAACUGAGGCAAUGGUCCUGGUCGGAACGGGACUGGGGGAGCCCCUGACUGAGGGCCUGGAGAUGGGAUUGCAGGAGCAGGUCCUCGGCCAGAUAAAGGUCUGGUUGGGGGGUUGUUUAAUGUAGGCCUCCUCUGAGUUGAGGGACUUGGAGGAGGUGAUCUAGUGAAAUAUCAGAAGUUUAAGAAGUUCAGUAAGUUAAUGGAGUUUUUUGUUUGUUUGUUCGGGAAUUACUUCAAUUAUUUUUAAACACAAAGCCUUUUUUAUGCCUAUGACAAUUCUUUAUCCUGGCAUUUUCCUUUGUUGUCAGUGACAGAGCAUCACGUAUGUUUAAGUCUCACACCUUUUCCACGAACAGCAUGCUUUAUGAUAGUCAGAAAUAAACAUAUAAGCAAAGAAGCAAA